rnacentral:rRNA from 1 species
AUUGAACGCUGGCGGCAUGCCUUACACAUGCAAGUCGAACGGUAACAGGUCUUCGGAUGCUGACGAGUGGCGAACGGGUGAGUAAUACAUCGGAACGUGCCCGACCGUGGGGGAUAACGAAGCGAAAGCUUUGCUAAUACCGCAUAAGAUCUACGGAUGAAAGCAGGGGACCGCAAGGCCUUGCGCGGACGGAGCGGCCGAUGGCAGAUUAGGUAGUUGGUGGGAUAAAAGCUUACCAAGCCGACGAUCUGUAGCUGGUCUGAGAGGACGACCAGCCACACUGAGACUGAGACACGGCCCAGACUCCUACGGGAGGCAGCAGUGGGGAAUUUUGGACAAUGGGCGAAAGCCUGAUCCAGCCAUGCCGCGUGCAGGAUGAAGGCCUUCGGGUUGUAAACUGCUUUUGUACGGAACGAAAAGACUCUGGUUAAUACCUGGGGUCCAUGACGGUACCGUAAGAAUAAGCACCGGCUAACUACGUG